rnacentral:rRNA from 1 species
GAGUUUGAUCAUGGCUCAGAUUGAACGCUGGCGGCAGGCCUAACACAUGCAAGUCGAGCGGAUGACGGGAGCUUGCUCCUUGAUUCAGCGGCGGACGGGUGAGUAAUGCCUGGGAAUCUGCCUGGUAGUGGGGGACAACGUUUCGAAAGGAACGCUAAUACCGCAUACGUCCUACGGGAGAAAGCAGGGGACCUUCGGGCCUUGCGCUAUCAGAUGAGCCUAGGUCGGAUUAGCUAGUUGGUGGGGUAAUGGCUCACCAAGGCGACGAUCCGUAACUGGUCUGAGAGGAUGAUCAGUCACACUGGAACUGAGACACGGUCCAGACUCCUACGGGAGGCAGCAGUGGGGAAUAUUGGACAAUGGGCGAAAGCCUGAUCCAGCCAUGCCGCGUGUGUGAAGAAGGUCUUCGGAUUGUAAAGCACUUUAAGUUGGGAGAAGGGCAGUAAGUUAAUACCUUGCUGUUUUGACGUUACCGACAGAAUAAGCACCGGCUAACUCUGUGCCAGCCGCCG